CAACAACUCCGCGCUUGAAGGUCAAAAUCUAGUAUAGAUUAAAUGUUAAAUAGAAAUAUUGAAUAAAAUAGCAUAGGAGAACAUUGAACUCUGAUUCUUAGGAAACUAAGGGUGCACCAUAAUCAAAUUAACUACUUCCAACUUACAUGUUCAAUGUAAAAAAUUGGAUAUCUAAAAUAUAGUGGGUGCAUGUGCACUUUUAGUCAGUGGCGAAUCCACUAUAGACAAUGGGCUGUCAUAUGACAUUCCUUAAAUCCCUAUAAAUAAGUUGUUACGUGUAAAUUUUACAAAAAGUCUUUAGCAUUUAUGGUAAAGCCCAUAUCUUGACCUCCCAUAAAUUUGAGUUCAAUCUCACCUUGACACCUAAUUUUUUGUAAUAAAAAUUUUGACACCCCAUACAAUAAUUCUUGGAUUCGCCACUGCUCUUACUCAUCCACCUAGCUUUGCCCCUGCGUAGAGGUCGUUGCCUAAAACCAUCUCAGAAGCUAAAGGAUAUGUGGUGGUUCAAAUUAGAGGGAAUGGAAGGUGUGGAAGAUGUACCGCUUUACAGGGUGGUCGAUCCCACUAGGACUUCAAAUUCUAAGAGUCCUUCUGAUUUUUUUUUUUCUAUUUUAUGUUUUACUUUUAAAUAAAUGUGGCACUUUGCUCUGGAAUUUUUUUAACUUCUUGUUGUGAACAUUCUGGCAUAAUUUUACAAAAAAAAACAUUAUGGCAUAGCCAUUAUCUUGUAACUUUUCUAGUAUUUAAUAACAAACCUUUUGUCAAAAAAAAAAACAAAACAAAAAACAGGGCAUGAUUUCUUGUUUAUGACUAGUUUUUUUUUGGCAGAAAACUCUAUGGGGAUGUAAAUAUUUGUUCUAAAAUUGCAAAAUAGCAAUAUAUUUUUCUUCGGAUUUCAAAUAACUACAGGACUGAUAAUAAAGUUUAAAAUGUAAUAAUGAUAAAAAUUUAAAAUGUAACUAACAAUACUGUUUGUUAAUUUAUAGUACAAUUAGGGUUUGGCCCGCCCUACAGCCGAGUUAAUAUCCAAAAAGAAUAUUACAUAAUAUAUAUAAUCAAUUUUAAUGAAUAUUUUAAAAUGUUUAUCUUAAUUUAAUUUAAAUUGUUCUUACUUUUCACUGUGUAUAUUUUAUUAUUUUUAUCAUAAUAUUAAAAGGAAUAUUAUAUGAUAACUAUUUUCUAGUGAGAAAAUAGUAUAUAUAUAACUACUGCCGUUCAAAUAUUUCAAAUUACAAUUAUAAUACAAAAAUUACAAUAAUUUAUAUAAUUCAAAUACCUAAAGUUCUAAUUAUAUAUAUUGCUAAUAAAUAUUUGAUACGUUUUUCUUUUCAUUUAUAAAAAGAAAUAUGCAUUGUAAACAUGUGUUGAUAUUUUGCAUAAUGGUAUAUGAUUAAGGGACAAUGGGUGUAAUAUGCCCAACGAAGACCUUAAUUGGCCAAAUGCCUAUAGUCGUAGAUAACCCAAAAAAGUAACUUUUUGACAUUGUGCGGAUGAAAAUACCCUCACUUUAUCGAGAACAGAUUGGGUGGUAGUACGAGGCAUGUGUCAGACUGCAGAGAUGGACGGCGGGGCAGGCGAUGGACUGUUGGAAAAACAAGUGAAGAUCAAAUCGAGAUUACGUUACUGAUAAGAUAUUCAGUAGCAGCUAAUAUGUUGUGUUACAUAUCCAAUAUUUAUUAACGGUUAAAUUUGUUGUUGCCAAACGUUACAUAACUUACAAAGCGUGUAACUAUAGAAUUUAUCGGGUACACAAUAUGUUAGCUGAAACUAAUUUGUGGUCAAAUUAUAAUUAGUGCAAUGCGUAACCUCUAAGGCAUAGUAGGUUAUAUCAUCUAACAUGUAUGGGAUAACAUAUCAAAAGAUGUAUAAAUAAAAAUUGUACUAGACGCUAACGACAAAAAAUACACCAUGUACUUUGAUAGUUUGCAUAAAGUGAUGUAAAUAUAUUUAUGUCUACUUCAGUUUUUAGAUGUCUAAAUAUAUGUGUAUUUCGUUGGAGUAUUGAAAGUUACUAUACAAUGUUAAUUGUUAUAUAAAAUGUUAGCAUAUAAAUUUUUCGGUAAAUGAUAACAAUAACAAGUAUCGUUAAAUAUAGAGUAUAAACAUAUGAGUCAUACGUAGUUGAAAGUAGAAUGCUAACUGUUAAUAUUAGAAGUUAUAAAUUAUAUUAACGUCUAAAAUUACUAAUUAAUUACUCCAUCUGUUCUUGAAAGAAGGAUUUUCUAGAGUAUUCACGUAUCUUAAGAAUAUAAUAAAUGUUUACAAUUGAAUUUAUUAUUUAUUUUACUAUAAAUUUUUCAAUAAAUAUCAACCAAUAGUAUUUAACCAAUUUAAAUAUUUUCAAUUAAUGUUUCUUAAAAGUAUACGACUUUUCAACAUUAACUACUAAAAGUACCUUCAAAUUUUAGAAAAUCUAUCAUUUUGGAACAAAAAAUAAAUCUUGAAAAUCCUACUUUCGGGAACGGAGGGAGUAUAACAUUAGUAUGUAAAUGGUAUUGUAAUCAGUACAUCUGUUCAAAUUUACUGAUAAAAAAAUAUUAGAGACAAAAUUUUAUAGUUAACGAUUAUCUAUAUUAUCAAAAAAUACAAAAAAGGUUAGAGGCAAAAUUUUAUAAAUAAAAAUUUCGCUUAAACAAAUACAUAAACUGCAAAAACAAUUCUGAAUAACAACCAAUCCGAUAAAACUUGGUUCCUCUACAUAAAGACGUCAUUGUCAAUCUUCUUUCACAAUCUUUCAGACGUCACCAAUUACGGUUCCGGAAAAUUAUGAAACACCUAAAAAAAACGUGUACCAGAUAACAAAAAUGUAUAAGAUAGCAACUUAUUAAUCCACACCAUGUAUCAACUCAUUUGUCAGCUAACAAACUAAGUAUCAAAAUGACGGCUCAUCACCGGCGUCGAACAUCUGAGGCGGUUGUUGGAGUUCAUCCAUCAGAAAUGAUAGAACCAAAAUGACAUUUUGUUAGAUUGGGGAAUUAGGGUUCCUACAAGAGGUAUAAUCGAUCGGAAAAUUAAAUUUUAAAAUUAAAGAGUAAUUGGAAUAUAAAAGGAUUUGUAGUGGUUGAUGAAGUGAGAAUAAAUGAGACUCUUCAGAAUCAUUUCACGCUCUUAUGUUUGGAAAUCUGAAAAGGUACAAGCCACCAUAUUGUCCAAUGGGUGAAAGGAGCCUCCUGACACACAACUACACGCGACACCAGGUCUACUAGUCGUAGGAGUGAGAAGCUGUGAGGGGUAAAAUUGUCCAAGAUAAAUGAGUAACAAGAAUCAGGGUAUAUGGCAAGAUAUGAUGGUGUUUGGGUGCAGUAGCGCCAAUCUCUGUAUGAUUAAUUCUAUCGUCACUUCCCAUACCCCAACGGUCUCAAUUGGUGUGUAAGGACUACAAUAUGGUGCUGGACUCUUUUGCCGUCUCAGUGAUUGAUAUAAAGAACACAAUUAGCUUGAUUACAACAAAAUGUUUGUCUACUUUAUUGAUAUGAUUUUGAAUCUUAACCUGCGUCGAUCCAAUCCACAGAGAGCUUGAAACUUGACGGAGAAACUUCUAGCCAGCUUACUUGAUUUGCUUGCUUCUUUCCAAAUGAACACUGAAUCCGGCACCAGAGCUCCUCAGCUGAAGCUGAUACACCAUUUUGUAUUGUUUUCUAAAUAAUAUAUAAUGAUCAUAUUCAAUUUUUUUGCUUAGUUAUUAAUAUCUAUUUAAUGUGAUUUUAUAAUUAUAAGACCAAUUGUUUAGGUAGUAUCUUAAAAAAUUUUGUAUCAAAAAUAUGAAGAUAUAUUAAUUUAAAUAUCUUUUUGCAUCAUUGAUUUAAAAAGUAUGAAAAGUAAAGUUUAUAUAUGCAUGAAUAAUAUAUUAAUCUACUGCGAUUCAAAUAAGAGUAAUUGGCGUAGAUACACCCAGAAACCCAUGUAAUUUAUCAUAUAACCUUGUUUCUUUUUAAUAUUUUUAAUGACUAUAAUACCCUUAUCUAUAUCUCUCUCUCUUCUCCCUUUUAUGUGUUCUAAGCUCUUUAUCUCUCGUACAAAUUCUUCAAAUCAUCUUCUAAUUCAACACAAAUCUUUAUUUUUUUAUUCCGAUUCUUUUGACACUCAUAAUGCUAAUCUUAUUAUCUCACCCCAAUUCCAAUGUUUUCAAUUUUGAAUCACAAUCAACUUUUAGAUAAUAUAUACGUUAGUAGGUAUUUUAUUACUUACCUGCUAUUAUUUAGAUUUUAAUGGAUUAUUAAUCGAUACAUGAAGUGUUAGCUGUUACAAAUAGAUUUGGAGCUAUUUAAUAGAUAACUAAUUAAUUAUUAAUAGUUUCAUUAACUGAUAUAUGAUUUGUUAGUCGAUACAUUUGUUUGAUACAUAGAUUGUUAGAUGAUACAGAAAUUAUUAGCGGAUAUGUUAGUUGGUAUGUAGAUUGUUACCUGCUAUGUAAAUAUUUAGCUGAUAGAUCUAGAGUUACUUGUUUUCGACAAAGCAUAAGGGUAUUUUCGUCCGCACAGUGUUAAAAGGUUACUUCUUUUUGGGUUAUCCAUAAUUAUGGGCAUUCAGCAAAUUUAAACCUUAAUUGGGGAUAUUCCACACAUUGUCUCUUUUCACUUUAGAAAAGAAGAAAUGAGAAACAAUUAAAUUAUGAAAAUAAAAGAUGCAAAUGAGUGGUUGAGUUGAAAUGCCCAGCGCGUACUCGUCAACGCAACGCGUGUGUUGUGUUUUCGCUUUCUUCUUUAUUGUGAUAUGGGUGUUGGGAAAAGAGAUCGCUGUCAGAGUAUUACGAUGUGCUCGGCGUUAGCCCACCGCUACGGAGGCUCAGAUUAAGAAAGGUUCUACAUCAAGUCGUUUUCUAGUAACGGUGCUAAUUUAUAAGGAAAGAACUCUAAUCGAUUAGCAAGAGAUGACAGCUUCAAACUGAGAUUUUUCGGACUUAAUCUUCGUCCGUGAUAUCGUCGGAUCUUCCUAGGCAGUUGGCUGAAGAGGAGCUGUUAUGCAGCGGCGAUUCUCUACAUUGUAUUCUAAUAGAAAGCCAAAAAAAAUAUCCCUAAGUCAUGCUUAAAUCAACAAAGCCCAAAACACAUAUACUACACAAUCGACAAAGCCCAAAACAUACAUACCAUGAAUGAUGUUUAAUGGCAGGAGAGAAUAUAUUGACGUGGCAAAAUCUCUUUCAUCUGAAAACGCUGACGUGGCGUGUCUCGUGAAGAGAAGUUGCUCCUUUGUAUAUAGAUAGAUUAAUAUACGAACUUACUGCGUUGUGUACUAUUAUAUUUUAUACUUAAAACCUUAUAUUCUUGUAAAAAUGUUAAAUAAAUAUUAUAAAACUGAAAAAUAUAACUGAUUUUAUGAAAGAGAUAGAUAAAAUAAUUAAUGGAUAAGGUAAAAAAAGCAUUAGCAUUUAGAUCCCCUAUAUAUUAAAGGAGAAGCAUUUUUUAAGACUUUCCUUAAUUCUUUCUUGGUUAUUUUGACAUGGAUGCAUGAGAAGGCUUUAUUCUCAAUUUUGCAUACGUGUCGCGCUGUGAGGGCUUCUCACAAAAGCGUUGACUUUAAUACCAUAAUUUAUUUCCUUUUUUGAUUCUUUUUUGGUUUAUAUUAAAUGGCUUUUUCAUGUCUAUAGACUCAUGGCUUUUUCAUGUCUACGGACUCAUAGCUUUUUCACCUUCAUCAUGCUAAAUAUAAUAUAGAGACGAGAAAUGUUGCUGCUCGAAGAGUACUUGAGCUUCCAUCUUCCUCGAUCAGUUUCGUGUAGAGACACAACUCGGUUCUGUUGCGAGUUAUCACCUUCACCUUCAUCUUAUAGUACUAUUGCGAGUUAUCACAACUCGGUUCUGUUGUGAGUUAUCACAACUCGGUUCUCUUGCGAGUUAUUACAACUCAGUUCUGUUGUGAGUUAUCACGUUUUGAAGUUGGUUAACAAAACGAUUUUUGCGUAUUGAACAUUAUCCUUGGAUGAUUCAUCUAUUGUGUUAGCUUCUUAGAUCUAUUGGUUUGUUUUCUCUUUAACAGGUUCUCUUUAACAUGGAGACUAGCUACUCAUGCGAUGCUCGAGAAGAUCCAGAUGAGUCAAUAGAAUCAAUAGAAGACAUUAUCCCUCAUAGAGAAAAUAGUUGUUCAGAAACUCCCUGAGAAAGACGAGGAACUCGAGUUGAUAUAAAAAAAAGAGAAGCUUUACUUGAGGUGCGUAUUGAACAAAUAGCAAUGGAAGCUGAGCUAGGGCAACAACGUGCAAAGUGCAGCAAGUACAUGAUCGCUGCUCUCAACUAAAAUCCGGAGGGAACUCACGCUCGACCAAGAGAUAGCAUCGAACGAAGUGGAGCCAGGAAAGUGGAUGACACGCUUGGUUCAAUGGGGGAAACAGUACAACGACGACGAUGAUGUGCAGUUUUAUGGAGUGAGAGACGAAUGUAUUUUGUUGUUGUCAUGUAAGCAUAUGUGUUUGUGUAAUGAGUGUGAGAGGAAGCUUAGCUAUUGUCUUUUGUGUCAAUCUUCAAAGUUUCUAGGGAUGGAUCGUGAUUUAUACACGACGUGUGCAUGCAUUGGCAGGGACAGUGGAGACAGGGAAGUGGAUGACACGGCUUCUUGGGUAUCUUAAUAAUCAACUCUAUAUAGUAUAAGUUAGUUAUAAGAUUGUGCUAAAAUUAGUUAUAUCAUAUAAUUUUAGGCCGUUACGUUAUUUUAUAUUGUAUAUGUUUUAUAUGUUACUUUUUACUUUUUUCCAUGCAUAUAACCGGAACAUAAUUCUAACUAUUAUAUAUAAUAAUGUACGUAUAAUAAAGAUAAGACUAGACCCUGAUCCGCGCCAGCGCAAAGAUGAAUUUUUGAUUUUUGAUUAUUUAUUUUAUUAGAUGAUAUAUUUUAAAUAUUUGAUCAUAUUAUAUUCACUAAGUAAAUAUUUUUUUGCAUCUUAAACUAUCUAUUUUUUGACGAGUGUGAGGUAUCAUAUAAGCAAAUUGAGUAUAUAGAGUUAAUUAGAAAAUUGUAAGAACAUAACCACUCAUGCGAUUAGUUUAUUUUAUUAAAAUUGUAGAAAAUUUUUGAUUAUUUAUUUUAUUAAAUGACGAAUCUGCUAUGUUAAGAUCUGGCGAAUCAGUUUGAUUCAUUCCUUUCACAAGGAAAGUUAGAAGAUUCUUAUCAUUUUCUCACUCAACCACUCAUGCGAUUCAUACCGAAUAAUCAUACAUCCAUACAAAACCAACUGAUGUUAUGUAUUCAAAAACUAUAUUUUUGGUAUGAAUGAAUGGUAACACAAAGCAAUAUGAAGAAAUUUUAAUUCUUUUACUCCACACUUAAGAGAAUAAACUGAAACCAGACCGGAUUACAAAUUCAACAUUCCUACAUUAAUCCCUUAGUAUAAUAUAAAACAUUAAAUUUAACCAUCUAUCUCACUCCGUGCAAAGCGCGGGUUACUACCUAGUAUUAGUGUUAAUUCUGAAAGAAAAUUUUAACAAAAGCUCCAACUUACUAUAGCUAAAUUUCGUCAUUAAUUUUUAUCGUGAAGCCCAUAUUUUUCUCGUAGUGUAUAUAAAUGAGCAAGAUAAUCAUUGAGAUUUUAUUUGAAAAAUACUUGGGUUCACCCCUAUGGUGAAUGGUCAAAUUCACCUCAGCUUUUAUAACCAACCAAAUUGCCAUAUAAGAUUAGUUAAAAAAAGCAUUAAAAUUAAAAAAAAAAACG